UCUCUUCUUCUAAAAAUAAGUCUAGGAAUCGAACACGCAGAAGUUUUACAAUUUGCUAUUUUAACUAGGAAUAAAAUUUAUAAGUUUUUGCGUUUGGGGGGUUUCACUCUCACUCUGGGGCCUUUGCUCGACCUGGCUCCCUCACUCUCUCUGCUCCGCCGCCACGGAGGUUGAUUUCGGCCACCAUAGGCCUUGCCUUCUGAUUUUGCCCAAUCCAAGCUGCGACCAUCAAAGCUAUUUCCGCCCACCACGAUACAUUUCAUGAGGUGAGAAGGAGACGUGACUGAAAGGAGGAGUCAUAUGACACCAUAAUGUUGGAAAAGUAUGGAGAAGACUCUUCAAAGCAUCCAUUGGUUGAUUCAACAGUGUGGGCAGAUGUGUCAGAUUCAAAGAAGAGACAAAUUUUUGGAACUAUGGCUACUUCAUCUUCAAAGAUCAUAGGUCCCUCCCACAUUUGAAUUUCUACACAAGAAGUUUAUUAAGGAAGCUGUAAAUGUUGCCAUGACUUCUUUUGUUGAUAAUCGUUUAAUGCCUGUGUUGGAGCCCAUUAUAUCUUUCUUUGGUGACUCCCAAGCUAGAGCAACUGAGGAGGAUCAUGAGGACUCAUAAUGAAUGUUGGUGCUCCUUGGCAGCAUAGUGUUAAAGCAAAUUGGACCUUUAGGCACAAGAUUGUUGAUUUAGAGAAAGAUUGUUUGAGAUUACAUUAAUUUAACUUUAUUUUGCAAAAAAAUUGGACCUUUAGGAUUUUAUCAUUUGUUCUGUUGUGACUUUCUAAUUUUAUAUGUUGCAAAAAAAAAAAAAUUGUUUUGCAUGAUUA